UCAAGCAAUCCACCUGCCUCAGCCUCCCACAGUGUUGGGAUUACAGCUGUGAGCCACUGUGACCGGCUGGGCUAUUUCUUUUCUAUGCAAUAAAAAUUGUGUCAUGAAAUGACAGGGUCCGCAGUUGCAGUGCUUGAAGCCAUUGUUCUAAAAGAGAUAUAACUCCAAAUCGGAACACUUUGGAAUAUAAGAAUAGCUGGAGAAGAAGAUACAGAUAAUUAUGAAAAAGAAUACAGUUGAACAUUCAACUAUAAAAUGCACCUAACCCUGAGUAUGGCACAUGGCAGACAUUCAAGAAAUACUUUUCCACAAAUGAACAAAUGAAUGAAAUCUCAUGUGUCUAAAUUCUUUAUUGUGGGAACUGGCUCACUUCUGCUUCUACAAUGAAGAUUCAAUCACUGGCAUGGUAUAGGAGGAGGAGGACAGGUAAGAGACAUACUUUUAAUAUGGCCACCAAAAUGAAAGGGCCUCUGGAAUAGUACCUGAAUCUGGUCCAUGUAAAUGUCUUCAGUUGUCUGGGGAGGAGGAUUGGCAUUAUCUCCCUCUCACUUCAUCAGUGACUGCUAUCUCCAAUUUAUAUUGCUAUUCCCCUACCUUGCAUUCAGUAUUCAACACUUUGUACUUAGUUUUUCACUUCCACCCCAUUGACUAAAAUUUCAAAUGGUCCCCUUACUGAGAAAAAUUUCCGUGGAAUACUAGGAGCACAAAUCAUAAAAGGGAAAAAGCAUAAACAGAAAGUGCAGACAAUUCUUGGUAUCAAUGGCACUAGUGGAAAAGUUGGCUGUGAAUGUCCUGAGAUUGGAGGGAAAGAGGAAAGGAUGGAUGGGCAUGGUGGUAAGUUUGUAAAGGGAAGAAGGGAGGGCACAUUUGGGGCUGUUUAUGCCUGAUGACUUCAAAUUUCUCAAUGAAAUUGAAGCCAAUGUGGUUAGGGAAGUUGGGUUGAAAUAAAGGAGCAAGGGACUUAAGUAAGCUUGUAAGAAGAGUAGAAAAUAUUUAGUACGAAAUUGUUGGUUUUUGGUGGUUUGUUUUGUUCUGUUUUUUUAGAAAGACAGGGUCUCACUAUGUUGCUCAGGCUGAAGUACUGAGGCUAUUCCCAGGUGUGAUAAUAGCAUACUAACACCUUGAACUCCUGGGCCCAAGUGAUCCUCCUGCCUUAGCCUCCUGAGUAGCUGGAACUACAGGCAGAGUUGUUUUUUUUUUUGGUUGUUGUUGUUUUUUUUACAUAUCUACUACAUUUAACAUGGUCCCUCACUUUCUCCUUGAAACUCUAAAUACCCUCGAUAGUCAUAGCUUCAUACUCUCCUGGUUCACCUUUCACCAUUUAUUUUUUGCUGCAUUUCCCACACAAGAGCGUAUCUUCCUCUUUUUGUUCUUUAAACAUUAGUAUACAGAAGGAUUCUGUCCUUAGUAGUUACUGACAGUCUUACCUUUUCCUUUUUUUUGAGACAGGGUCUUACUCUGUCACCAAGGCUGAUGUGCGGCAGCAUAAUCAUGGCUCACUGCAGUCUCAACCUCCCAGGCUCAAGCAAUCCUCCUGCCUCAGCCUCCCGAGCAGCUAGGACUACAGAUGGGUAUCUCAAACUCCUGAGUUCAAGCGAUCCACACACCUUGGCCUCGCAAAGUGCUAAGAUUACAGGUGCAGUGAGCCAAUGCACCUGGCCCCCUUUCUUAUUUUUUUAACUACUUCUAGACUAGGCAUGCUGAAGACCUACCCAUUUCCCCGGGUUUAAGAACCAUAUAUCCAACUCUGCACAUAUUUCCACCUUGAGGUCCCUAUGGCAGUAAACCCACUAUACCUCAAACCAAACUCAUCAUCAUAUCACCCACACUUGUUCCUCCUCUGAUAUUCCCUAUUUCAUUUGGAAACACCAAAAACCAAGUAAUCCAAAUGAGAAACAUGAAUUAUCCUUAAUUCUUUCCUUAGCCGUUGUAUUCAACAAAUAAUCAAGUUUUACUAAUUUUAUAUUCUAAAUAUUCCUUGGGAGAAUAAUUAUAUUCUUUUCUGGGAGUAUAAGUUCCUAUUCUUGCUGGAGGAGGCAUUAAACAGUAAACACAAAAGCAUGCAAAUGAUAUGAUAUGUAAAUAUGUAUAAGUUAUAUAAAAUAUAUAAAUCAUAUAAUAAAACCUGAUAGGUAACAUGGAGAAAAUAAAAAGAGAACAUGUGUUGAAGAAA